rnacentral:rRNA from 1 species
AGUGAACGCUGGCGGUAGGCCUAACACAUGCAAGUCGAACGGCAGCACAGGAGAGCUUGCUCUCUGGGUGGCGAGUGGCGGACGGGUGAGGAAUACAUCGGAAUCUACCUUUUCGUGGGGGAUAACGUAGGGAAACUUACGCUAAUACCGCAUACGACCUACGGGUGAAAGUGGGGGACCGCAAGGCCUCGCGCGAUUGAAUGAGCCGAUGUCGGAUUAGCUAGUUGGCGGGGUAAAGGCCCACCAAGGCGACGAUCCGUAGCUGGUCUGAGAGGAUGAUCAGCCACAGUGGAACUGAGACGCGGUCCAGACUCCUACGGGAGUCAGCAGUGGGGAAUAUUGGACAAUGGGCGCAAGCCUGAUCCAGCCAUACCGCGUGGGUGAAGAAGGCCUUCGGGUUGUAAAGCCCUUUUGUUGGGAAAGAAAUCCAGCCGGCUAAUACCUGGUUGGGAUGACGGUACCCAAAGAAUAAGCACCGGCUAACUUCGUGCCAGCAGCCGCAGUAAAAC